UUUGAUCCCUGGCCAUCGUGCUUGGAGGGGACAGGCACCAGAAAGGACACUGCUAAACUGGCUUUCGCUUAUGUUAGGAAAUCAGAUAUGCUAACUAAAAAGGGUCCUGGCCUACAUGGUUUUAUGAGUGAGUUCACUGAAUACAUUUUCAAGACACAAGUCAUCCAGAUGGUAUAGAAACAACCUUGAUUUUAGAAAACAAGGUAACAUUUUUCAGUGUCUUUUAUGAACCUAGCAAAACCUUUAUACCAAAAUUUAACAAAACA